rnacentral:rRNA from 1 species
UACGUAGGGUGCAAGCGUUGUCCGGAAUUAUUGGGCGUAAAGAGCUCGUAGGCGGUCUGUCGCGUCGGUCGUGAGAACUUGGGGCUUAACCCUGAGCUUGCGGUCGAUACGGGCAUGACUGGAGUUCGGUAGGGGAGACUGGAAUUCCUGGUGUAGCGGUGAAAUGCGCAGAUAUCAGGAGGAACACCGGUGGCGAAGGCGGAUCUCUGGGCCUGUCCUGACGCUCAGGCGCGAAAGCUAGGGGAGCAAACAGG